CAUCUGAGGUGCAGCUGAGGCGGUGAUACUAGUGCUGGGGAGCAGCCGCAAAUACAGGUAUGAGAAAGUGCCAGUCAUCUUGGUUGGGAACAAAGUGGACCUGGAAAGUGAGAGGGAAGUGUCAUCCAAUGAAGGCAGAGCCCUUGCUGAAGAGUGGGGCUGCCCCUUUAUGGAGACUUCUGCUAAAAGUAAAACCAUGGUGGACGAACUCUUUGCAGAAAUUGUGAGGCAAAUGAACUAUGCUGCGCAGCCUGACAAAGAUGACCCAUGCUGUUCUGCAUGUAACAUACAAUAGCAUUCAAAAAUGGCUAUCCUGGACAGGAUUUGACCAAUAUCAUAGGUGAUACAAACCUCGUCUACUCGACUGCGGAGUUUGCAGGAUGUGUGGUGUGAAUCUACAGUGAAAUAGCAGCCCUUAUUCAGAAUUCAGCAGUGAUUGUCAGUUGAUAUCUCUGAGUAACAUUUGGGUUCAGUAACUACAGUUUUCACCAUUGUCCUCAGUCUCCUAUGUGCACCUGCGACUUUAAGGCAUAGCCAAUCGAUCUACAGGGUGAUCUCCUUUGAAAGCUGUAGUGGCAUUGUAGCUGAGUUGACAGAAGCAACUCUUGUAUAAAUUACAAAUAACCACGAGAGCGAAACCAGAACAAUUCCUAUGACCACUUACAAUUAAAAUAUUUUGUCUUCUUUAAAAAAAAAUAGGUAACUGAGAAAUAUUUUCCUACGAGAAUACUGAAUUUCAGGAGUUAAGAUAGUGCUUCUAACCAAUGUGUUCCAUCGAGUAAGAUAAUAAUGGCUGACCUGCCAACAGCAUUACAGGGAGAGAUUCUUUGCUCAGCUGACACAUUUCUGUUUUUCAAAAUUGAUGCUUAAUUGUAGAUGUUAUCCUAAUUUGUGACAUGGAACUAACUCAUGCAGCAGUCCUUAAUAGAGCAAAAGUCAGAUCAGGUUGUGUAGAAAUACAGUCUGGCUUUGGAAUGUGUUAAAUCACCUGCUUUGUCACAAAAUGGAGGCUCUCACAAGGGUUUGAUCUGAAUUAAAACCCCAUACCCACCCUCUGUUAACCAAGCAGGUGUGGUCUUUAUUACUUUACUGAACAAAAAGGAAGCAACACUGAUGCAAAGAGAUUGCCCAGCCUUACUAACAAGACAUGUUCUAGUAGAUUAACCAGUACCAUCAUGUAAGGAAAAUGAAGCCAUGUUGCAUCCACAUGUUCCCGUUUGCAGAAACCUCAUAGGACAGUACAAAUAUCUUGCAUUUUGAUGUUCAUUAAAGCAACAAAUUCCUUCUUGCCUUUAAGGGCUAUGGUUGUGGUGUGAUUCUUGGUUAACCUGCUUUCAAAAUCAAGUUUUCUGUAGUGGAGCUUUAUUGCAGGCAUUUUUUAAAAAAUUGAAUAACCAUGUGAUAUAAUUUGGGCUUUAAAGUAGAAUAUAAAUCAUAGAAUGGAAGGUAAGGGACAAAAAGAAACCUUUUAUCUUUAAUUUUCCUGGAGAAUUAUAUAAAGAUUUUCUUAUAACAAUUUUUCCCUGAUUACUGAAGUGGCAAAUAAAACUAGAGAAUAUUUUGUUUUGAAAAGGUGCUCACGCUCUGAUAUUUUUGGUCUUUAUAGCCGUGAAGUAGUUAUUAUUUGCAUGAGUAAUGGCACAGGAAAAACCUAUUCAUAAGUUUUACAAUCAGGCGUAGAAGGGUUUUUAACUAACUUCAGAGUUAUAACUGCUUAAGAGAGAGUAUCUUGAGCAGGUCCUCUGGAGAUAAAUUUGGCCUUCAGAACUGUAGUAUCACUGAGCCUGUGAUCUACACACCGCCCCACACUUUGUUGGUUUCACACUCUUGUGCAAAUAACUUCUGGUCUUAUGUGUGUAACUGAGAAGAGUGUAUGUGCACAUGUGUGUUUAUUGUUCCUAAGAAUUUGGCACAAGUUGGAGAUAAUUGCCUACACUGAGAAUCUGUACUGAAGAAUAUAGUGUAUCAAGAACAUCUUUUUCUUUUAAAUUAUUUAAAUGUUUAUUUUACAUUAUUGAAAUCAUUGGUAGCCACCACCACCCCCCCCCACCCCAAGUGUUUAGUAAACUGGCAUUAAGCUUAGAGGAUAGAAAAAAGGCAGAUAGUAACUUUUCAUAGAUGAGAAAACUGAAAUGUGGGUGAAAGCAAGCCAUGGUUGUCACAAGUCUUCGAAUUGUGAAUAUUUGCAUUCUUCAGUAUAGGUUGUUUAUACACCCUAAUGAUGCAGCACCUUGUUUAUAGGACAAAAAGUUCUAACCAAUUUUAUUGAAACAAAUUUCAUUAUGUAAAAAUUGAUUUGAUUCAACAUGUAGAGAAAUCAAAGAUUCAAGAAGAAUGAUUUCUCUAUUGAAACAGAAAUAUUUGUUAGUGAAUUGGUUGAGUUUUGAAGCCUCUAACUUCUCAAAAUGAUUCUGUUUUUUAGAAUUUCAUAUUUAAGCAAUUUAUGACAACUAAAAUAUAUUAGAAACAUCUAUAAAGAUUCUACAGUUUCACAUUAUGGAUUGCUAUACAGACAAGAAAAAUAAUAUGAAAGGUAUGGCAAAAAUAUAAGGUGGAAAAGAUUGUCUUAAAAUUGGGGUUUUAGUUAGAAGUGUUUGUGUCAGACAAUAUAUUGGGCUUUUACUGUAAAGAUAUUAAUAACUGACUUGGCUGCUUAAUCACAGUAUUUCCACACAGCCCUACAUAUUUAGUGACAAAGCAUCAAAGAUAUCCAGAAACGGGGAAACCCUUGUGUGCUCUUACUGUUGGUAUUUCAUGUGGUAUGAAUAUAAUUCAGCUUGAAUGAAUGUGUUUGUUGAGAUGUUAAUAAAAAGCUUAAGAACAGAAAGAUUGAAUUUGUUGGCACAUGAAAUAAUAGUGGCUACAGAGAAAAGUUGGUGACCUUGUGUCGCUAUUUAUUUUAUGCCCUGAUCAGACUAGCAACUAGAUAAGUGAAAGUUUUUCUAACAUGCCUUAAAAACAUUAUGGUUUGAUCCAAAGACCCACUUUUUUUUUUUUUUUAGCUAUUAUGCUAAGGUUUUUGUUUUGUCUUAUUUUACUUUUAUACAAAGGCAGCAUUUGUUAAAGUUUUUUCUUUUACGUUGCAACUUUUGGUUCUUUUAAACUGUGAUAGUGAUGGUAACUGAUGCCUUUAAUUUUGUUCAACUUACACAAAACGAGCCAGCAUUUGAUCAAAAGUAUUACAUAAAAUCUUUCUUAAACUGUUGAAAGGUGCUUUGAUGAUUUUCUCCUUUGGUUUGUAGAAUUAGGACUGAACUUGACUCUAAUUGCUACAGUUGCCAUCAUUUUUUUGUGGUAAAACUACUGAUAAUAUUUUGCUUUUCUACAUAAAGAAAUGUUGCCUAAGGAGGUCUAUUUGUUUUCAAGAGUUGUCCGCUGGGAAUGUUGUCUAUGUAUGUAUGAAUAUGGAAAUGUUUGUUUUGUUUGUUGCUGUUUUUUUAGUUUUUGUUCUUCUCAGUAGUCUUGUGUUAGCACUGAGUAAGCUUUAAUUGUCUCCUUAGCCAAUCAAAUGAUAAAGACUAUGGGGGGGUCUAUUUUUUUUUUAAUUAACAUGUCAUUGUGCAUCUAUUAAAUCUUGAUCAGGGUUUCAAGAAUGACUGCGGUGGGUUUUGGAUACAGAUUUAUCAUUAUUGAUUUGGGGUUUCCCAGAGAUAAAUAUAGUUCACAGUUAAUUGUUGAGCUCUAAUACAACUGACCAUUUAAAAUUGAACAGCAGUUUAUUGUUUUGUAACAAUGUCAGCUGUUAAACCUUGACAUUUCAAUUAAAACACAAAUUGUAGUUAUAACUCAAUGCAAAUUCAACAGUUGUAUUUGGAGUUAAAUUAUUUUAACAAAUAAAUUUAUUUAAUGAAA